rnacentral:rRNA from 1 species
UUGGGGUGCUCGAGUGGCGAACGGGUGAGUAACACGUGAGUAACCUGCCCUUGACUUUGGGAUAACUUCAGGAAACUGGGGCUAAUACCGGAUAGGAGCUCCUGCUGCAUGGUGGGGGUUGGAAAGUUUCGGCGGUUGGGGAUGGACUCGCGGCUUACCAGCUUGUUGGUGGGGUAGUGGCUUACCAAGGCUUUGACGGGUAGCCGGCCUGAGAGGGUGACCGGCCACAUUGGGACUGAGAUACGGCCCAG